CAGAAAAUGACUCUCAGGGGGUUAUCAAUGGAGGAGCUCCUUAUAAAGUUGAUGGAAGAAGGCAUUGAUGUGUCAGACGACGAGGCGCAAAGGUUUAGAGUUGUGUGAUGAGGUUGAUUUAAUGCAUCCCUGCCAAGACAACAUCUGUCGCCGCUUUAGCAAAAACUUCACUGCUGUUCUUCAAAUGACCAAGGAUUUGCCACUGAAGAAGGUCUACAUGGAGGGAGAAUGCACUGGCUGAAGACAUUACAGGAAUUGACUUCAAGGGGGCACUUCUCUUGCCAUCCAUCUUCAAGGAGAAGAUAGAAGAUUUCAUCAUCCUUGGAGAGAAUACUCCCACGAGUCCAUACCCAACCAUUCGAAUGAAGGAUAAGAGUUGGACAACUGCCCUCUUAAGACAGUUUCGCUGUGUUGUGACAGUUGAAGGAGUGGAUGUUUGCUCGUGCCGCUCGCUGGAUGAGGCCUACAUCUCAGCAUUCUCCACCUUCUUCGUGUUCAACAUGACCUACCCUGCAUACUUCAAGAAAACAUUUGUCUUUCUUCAGAACUGCAUUGUCAACAUAGGAGACCAGGGAGACAAACCCCUGCCAGUAAGUGUCACCAGGGUACUUAACCAACUCUAUUAAAUAUGCCCCCACCCAAGUGUCACUACCUUAUUCACUACCCAAGGCUGAUUUUGAUGUAUGGUCCUCUUCGCCCUUUGUGGUGUAUGGGAUAUGAAAGCAAGCAUCAAUAUUUCAAAAAUCUAGCGAGUAAAUGCAAAAACUUUGUAAACAUCACUGCAACUCUUAACAAUCGUCAUCAAAUGAAACAGUGCUGGGAGUUUUCUUCAGAUAAGUUGCUUGUUGACUUUGAACAUUCACUCAGCACAAGUGUCAGUGUGCCAUUUUCAUCUCUGCCAGGUGACUUACAGAAUGCUCUGGAAAUGAACAAAAGUUUUACAGAUGUGCAUUUUCAGGAUAAAGUGCUUCAGUGUGUGUCUGCUAUAU